rnacentral:rRNA from 1 species
UACGUAGGGGGCAAGCGUUGUCCGGAUUUAUUGGGCGUAAAGAGCGUGUAGGCGGCCCGGUAAGUCUGUUGUGAAAGUCCAGGGCUCAACCCUGGAAUGCCGAUGGAUACUGGAAGACUUGAGUCCGGGAGAGGUGAGUGGAACUGCGGAGUGUAGAGGUGAAAUUCGUAGAUAAUUCGCAAGAACACCAGUGGCGAAGGCGGCUCACUGGCCCGGUACUGACGCUGAGGCACGAAAGCGUGGGGAGCAA